AGCUCAAGAGACUACGAUCGAUAGUGAGGGAGUAAAAGAAGGAGAAUUAGAGGAAGGGUUUGAUUGAAGUGGGAUGGUGCCGUAAUUAUGGGCAGCUAGGCAGCUUGCAUUGCAAAGCGAGGCUGUGAAUAGAAGGAUGUUGUAGGCAGAGGCCUAUAGUCUAUAGAGCAGGCACGUACUCUUCUAGUUUCCUUGGUGGCUAUAAACCAGCAACUAUAAGAGUUCAAGGAGUUUGGUGGAGAAGAAGCCCGACAUUUAGAUUGUAGAGCUUGCUUGGGCCAACUUUAAGGGUGGCUUGAAGUUAGGUUGAGCUCGGGCUUGAUACUUUAAACCCAACAUGGCCAAAGAUUCAACUUGGUUCAUUAAUUCUUUAUGAAUCUUGUAAAGGAAAAAAAGAAUUAAGAAUGUUGUUAAGACUUGAAUCUUUGAACUACCUUUAACCUACUCCAAAUCUUGAUCUACUCAAUAAUAAUUAGCUUGGUGAUAAAGUUUAAA
rnacentral:misc_RNA from 1 species